AGAGUUUGAUCCUGGCUCAGGAUGAACGCUGGCGGUAUGCUUAACACAUGCAAGUCGAACGAAAGUUUUUAACUUUAGUGGCGAACGGGUGCGUAAUACGUGAGAAUCUGCCCUUAGGAGGAGAAUAACUGCUGGAAACGGCAGCUAAGUCUCCAUAUGCCGAGAGGUGAAAUAGUUUACACUGCCUAAGGAUGAGCUCGCGCCUGAUUAGCUUGUUGGUGAGGUAACGGCUUACCAAGGCCACGAUCAGUAGCUGGUUUGAGAGAACGAUCAGCCACACUGGGACUGAGACACGGCCCAGACUCCUCCGGGAGGCAGCAGUGAGGAAUUUUCCGCAAUGGGCGAAAGCCUGACGGAGCAAUACCGCGUGAGGGAUGAAGGAUUUUGGUCUGUAAACCUCUUUUCUCAAGAAAGAAGUUCUGACGGUACUUGAGGAAUAAGCAUCGGCUAACUCCGUGCCAGCAGCCGCGGUAAUACGGGGGAUGCAAGCGUUAUCCGGAAUCAUUGGGCGUAAAGCGCCUGUAGGUUGUUUAAUAAGUCUGUUGUUAAAGACUAGGGCUCAACCCUAGAAAAGCAAUGGAAACUACUAGACUAGAGUAUGGCAGGGGUAGAGGGAAUUUCUAGUGUAGCGGUGAAAUGCGUAGAUAUUAGAAAGAACACCGGUGGCGAAAGCGCUCUACUGGACCAUUACUGACACUCAGAGGCGAAAGCUAGGGUAGCAAAAGGGAUUAGAUACCCCUGUAGUCCUAGCCGUAAACGAUGGAUACUAGAUGUUGCGUUUAUUAUGCAGUAUCGUAGCUAACGCGUUAAGUAUCCCGCCUGGGGAGUACGCUCGCAAGGGUGAAACUCAAAGGAAUUGACGGGGGCCCGCACAAGCGGUGGAGCAUGU
rnacentral:rRNA from 1 species